rnacentral:rRNA from 1 species
UACGAAGGGGGCUAGCGCUGUUCGGAAUUACUGGGCGUAAAGCGCGCGCAGGCGGCUAUCCAAGUCAGUGGUGAAAGCCCGGAGCUCAACUCCGGAACUGCCAUUGAAACUGUUUAGCUUGAGGAUGAGAGAGGUGAGUGGAAUUCCCAGUGUAGAGGUGAAAUUCGUAGAUAUUGGGAAGAACACCGGUGGCGAAGGCGGCUCACUGGCUCAUUACUGACGCUCAGGCGCGAUAGCGUGGGGAUCAAACAGG